rnacentral:rRNA from 1 species
AUUGAACGCUGGCGGCAGGCCUAACACAUGCAAGUCGAACGAGUGGCGGACGGGUGAGUAAUGUCUGGGAAACUGCCCGAUGGAGGGGGAUAACUACUGGAAACGGUAGCUAAUACCGCAUACCAUCGGAUGUGCCCAGAGGGGAGUAGCUAGUAGGUGGGGUAACGGCUCACCUAGGCGACGAUCCCUAGCUGGUCGGAGAGGAUGACCAGACACACGGGAACUGAGCCACGGUCCAGACUCCUACGGGAGGCAGCAGUGGGGAAUAUUGCACAAUGGGCGCAAGCCUGAUGCAGCCAUGCCGCGUGUAUGAAGAAGUCCUUCGGUUUGUAAAGUACUUUCAGCGAGGAGGCGUUACUCGCAGAAGAAGCACCGGCUAACUCCGUGCCAGCAGCCGCGGUAAUAC